CCUACGGGAGGCAGCAGUGGGGAAUCUUGCGCAAUGGGCGGAAGCCUGACGCAGCGACGCCGCGUGCGGGACGAAGGCCUUCGGGUCGUAAACCGCUUUCAGCAGGGACGAGGCUCUCACGGCGACGGUACCUGCAGAAGAAGCCCCGGCUAACUAGGUGCCAGCAUCCGCGGAAAAAGGUAGGGGGCGAGCGUUAUCCGGAUUCAUUGGGUGUAAAGCGCGGUUGGGCGGGCUGUUAGGUCGGGGGUAAAAUACCGGGGCCCAACCCCGGGCCGCCCCCGAUACCGGCGGGCUUGAGUGUAGUAGGGGAAGGCGGAAUGCACGGUGUAGCGGUGGAAUGCGCAGAGAUUGGGAAGAACACCGGCGGCGAAGGCGGCCUUCUGGGCCACGACUGACGCUGAGGCACGAAAGCUAGGGGAGCGAACAGGAUUAGAUACCCCGGUAGUC
rnacentral:rRNA from 1 species